CCUCUCCACUCUCCCAUCUCCAAAAAUCUUCCAUUCAAGCUUAUUCUUGCAUCCAUUGAAAGUACCUUCGAGAGUUUCCGACGGAUCGCUUCGUUCUUCUCUUCUACCGAUUGGUUUUUGUAAAGGAAGUCGUGAACUCGAGGAUCGAGAGUUGCUAAGUUGGGUUGUGAAUUGCUAAGAGAACGAGGUUGAGCGGGAUGUUGCGGUGGAUGUUGAGCUGGCUUAAGUACUUAGGAUGCGUUGUGUCGUCAUACAUAGGCGUCGUCCUUGACUCUCCUUAAACCGUAUUUUCUGCUGCUAUAACUUGAACUAUGACUCAAGACUUAAUCUUUCCUUUAUGUUUAUGUUUUGAACAUGUAUGGUGGUGAUGAGCUUUAAACUAGUGUUUACGUUGUCUUUUGAAAAUUUUAUUCUUCGAGAUUUAAGUUAAGUAUUUGUUCAACUUAGGAUUCAGUGGUUGUAUUUCUUAAGUCUAAUUUUUUCCGUUGUCCUUUUAAAAGUAUUUUACCUUA